GACGAACGCUGGCGGCGUGCUUAACACAUGCAAGUCGAACGGUAAGGCCCUUCGGGGUACACGAGUGGCGAACGGGUGAGUAACACGUGGGUGAUCUGCCCUGCACUUCGGGAUAAGCCUGGGAAACUGGGUCUAAUACCGGAUAGGACUCCUGCCUGCAUGGGUGGGGGUGGAAAGCUUUUGCGGUGUGGGAUGGGCCCGCGGCCUAUCAGCUUGUUGGUGGGGUGAUGGCCUACCAAGGUGACGACGGGUAGCCGGCCUGAGAGGGUGACCGACCACACUGGGACUGGGAUACGGCCCAGACUCCUACGGGAGGCAGCAGUGGGGAAUAUUGCACAAUGGGCGCAAGCCUGAUGCAGCGACGCCGCGUGAGGGAUGACGGCCUUCGGGUUGUAAACCUCUUUCAGCACAGACGAAGCGCAAGUGACGGUAUGUGCAGAAGAAGGACCGGCCAACUACGUGCCAGCCGCCGCAGUAA
rnacentral:rRNA from 1 species